UUCCGGUUGAUCCUGCCGGAGGCGACCGCUAUUGGAGUUCGAUUAAGCCAUGCGAGUAGAAAGAAAUUAGAUUCUUUGCAUACUGCUCAGUAACACGUGGAUAACCUGCCCUACACUGGGGGAUAAUCUCGGGAAACUGAGCAUAAUACCCCAUAGACCACUACGCCUGGAACGGUGAGUGGUUCAAAGCUUCGGCGGUGUAGGAUGGGUCUGCGGCGUAUCAGGUCGUAGGGGGUGUAAUGGACCUCCUAGCCAUCGACGCGUACGGGUUGUGGGAGCAAUAGCCCGGAGACGGAUUCUGAGACACGAAUCCGGACCCUACGGGGUGCAGCAGGCGCGAAAACUUCACACUGCAGGAAACUGUGAUGAGGGAACUCCAAGUGACUGCACAAUGUGUAGCCUUUUCUUGAAUUUUAAUAGUUCUUGGAAUAAGGGCUGGGAAAGACCGGUGCCAGCCGCCGCGGUAAUACCGGCAGCUCGAGUGGUCGUCGCUUUUAUUGGGCCUAAAACGUCCGUAGCCUGUUUGGUAAAUCUGUGGGUAAAUCAACGAGCUUAACUCGUUGAAUUCUGCAGAGACUGCCAGACUAGGGACCGGGAGAGGUAUGAGGUACUCUGGGGGUAGGGGUAAAAUCCUGUCAUCCUCAGAGGACCACCUGUUGCGAAGGCGUCAUACUGGAACGGAUCCGACGGUCAGGGACGAAGCCUAGGGGCACGAACCGGAUUAGAUACCCGGGUAGUCCUAGGUGUAAACGCUGUGGAUUUGGUGUGUGGGGUCCGCAAUGGGCCCCAUGUGCCGGAGUGAAGAUGUUAAAUCCACUGCCUGGGGAGUACGGUCGCAAGGCUGAAACUUAAAGGAAUUGGCGGGGGGGCACUGCAACGGGAGGAGCGUGCGGUUUAAUUGGAUUCAACGCCGGA
rnacentral:rRNA from 1 species